UACGGAGGAUCCAAGCGUUAUCCGGAUUUAUUGGGUUUAAAGGGUGCGUAGGCGGCCUAUUAAGUCAGGGGUGAAAGACGGUAGCUUAACUAUCGCAGUGCCUUGAUACUGAUGGGCUUGAAUGAACUAGAGGUAGGCGGAAUGUGACAAGUAGCGGUGAAAUGCAUAGAUAUGUCACAGAACACCAAUUGCGAAGGCAGCUUACUAUGGUUUUAUUGACGCUGAGGCACGAAAGCGUGGGGAUCAAACAGGAUUAGAAACCCU
rnacentral:rRNA from 1 species